rnacentral:rRNA from 1 species
AUUGAACGCUGGCGGCAUGCCUUACACAUGCAAGUCGAACGGUAACGCGGGGCAACCUGGCGACGAGUGGCGAACGGGUGAGUAAUGUAUCGGAACGUGCCCAAUAGUGGGGGAUAGCCCGGCGAAAGCCGGAUUAAUACCGCAUGAGACCUGAGGGUGAAAGCGGGGGAUCGCAAGACCUCGCGCUGUUGGAGCGGCCGAUAUCAGAUUAGGUAGUUGGUGGGGUAAAGGCCUACCAAGCCUGCGAUCUGUAGCUGGUCUGAGAGGAUGACCAGCCACGCUGGGACGGAGACACGGCCCAGACUCCUACGGGAGGCAGCAGUGGGGAAUUUUGGACAAUGGGCGCAAGCCUGAUCCAGCCAUGCCGCGUGCGGGAAGAAGGCCUUCGGGUUGUAAACCGCUUUUGUCAGGGAAGAAAUCUUCUGGGUUAAUACCUCGGGAGGAUGACGGUACCUGAAGAAUAAGCACCGGCUAACUACGUGCCAGCAGCCGCCGUAA